rnacentral:rRNA from 1 species
UAAUACGAAGGUGGCAAGCGUUGUUCGGAUUUACUGGGCGUAAAGGGAGCGUAGGCGGUUUGGUAAGCCCUCCGGGAAAUCUUCGGGCUUAACCCGGAAAGGUCGGAGGGGACUGCCUGGCUAGAGGACGGGAGAGGAGCGCGGAAUUCCCGGUGUAGCGGUGAAAUGCGUAGAGAUCGGGAGGAAGGCCGGUGGCGAAGGCGGCGCUCUGGAACGUUCCUGACGCUGAGGCUCGAAAGCGUGGGGAGCAAACAGGAUUAGAUACCCUGGUAGUCCACGCCCUAAACGAUGGACACUAAGUGUCGGCGGGUUACCGCCGGUGCCGCAGCUAACGCAUUAAGUGUCCCGCCUGGGGAGUACGGCCGCAAGGUUGAAACUUAAAUGAAUUGACGG